rnacentral:rRNA from 1 species
UACGUAGGGUGCGAGCGUUGUCCGGAAUUACUGGGCGUAAAGAGCUCGUAGGUGGUUUGUCGCGUUGUUCGUGAAAACUCACAACUCAAUUGUGGGCGUGCGGGCGAUACGGGCAGACUGGAGUACUGCAGGGGAGACUGGAAUUCCUGGUGUAGCGGUGAAAUGCGCAGAUAUCAGGAGGAACACCGAUGGCGAAGGCAGCUCGCUGGGACGGUACUGACGCUGAGACGCGAAAGCGUGGGGAGCAAACAGG